AAAGUACUCCCUCCGUCCGAAAAAGCUUGUCCCUCAAAUGAAUGUAUCUAGCACCAAGUUAGUGCUAGAUACAUCCAUAUGAGGAACAAGCUUGGGACAAGUUUUUCCGGACGGAGGGAGUAGUAG
rfam:Triticum urartu cultivar G1812 contig74387, whole genome shotgun sequence.